GAUGAACGCUAGCGACAGGCUUAACACAUGCAAGUCGAGGGGCAGCAUAGAAGUAGCAAUACUUUGGUGGCGACCGGCGCACGGGUGAGUAACGCGUAUGCAACCUACCUAUCAGAGGGGAAUAACCCGGCGAAAGUCGGACUAAUACCGCAUAAAACAGGGGCACCGCAUGGUGAUAUUUGUUAAAGAAAUUCGCUGAUAGAUGGGCAUGCGUUCCAUUAGGUAGUUGGUGAGGUAACGGCUCACCAAGCCGACGAUGGAUAGGGGAACUGAGAGGUUGGUCCCCCACACUGGUACUGAGACACGGACCAGACUCCUACGGGAGGCAGCAGUGAGGAAUAUUGGUCAAUGGGCGAGAGCCUGAACCAGCCAAGUCGCGUGAAGGAAGAAGGAUCUAUGGUUCGUAAACUUCUUUUGCAGGGGAAUAAAGUGCAGGACGUGUCCUGUUUUGUAUGUACCCUGAGAAUAAGGAUCGGCUAACUCCGUGCCAGCAGCCG
rnacentral:rRNA from 1 species